UGAGUACGAGACGCUAAGGCGUCGAAGUAGUGGAUGUCAUACUUCCAAGAAAAGCUUGCACUGUCAUAAAUAUAAAACGCCUGUACCAUAACCGACACAGGUGGGUAGGUAGAGUAUACUAAGGGGCGCGAGAUAACUCUCUCUAAGGAACUCGGCAAAAUGACUCCGUAACUUCGGGAGAAGGAGUGCCUUAUUCGUAAGGCUGCAAUAACAAGAUCCAAGCAACUGUUUAUCAAAAACACAGGUCUCCGCUAAGUCGUAAGACGAUGUAUGGGGGCUGACGCCUGCCCAGUGCCAGAAGGUUAAAGAAGUCGGUUAGCAUUAGCGAAGCUGGUAACUGAAGCCCUGGUGAACGGCGGCCGUAACAAUAACGGUCCUAAGGUAGCGAAAUUCCUUGUCGGGUAAGUUCCGACCCGCACGAAAGGCGUAAUGAUUUGGAUACUGUCUCGGAGAGGGGCUCGGUGAAAUAGACUUGUCUGUGAAGAUGCGGACUACCUGCACCAGGACAGAAAGACCCUAUGAAGCUUUACUGUAACUUGAAAUUGAAAUUGGACUUUAUUCGCGCAGUAUAGGUGGGAGGUGUUGAUUAUAAUCUUGCGGGAUUAUUGGAGCCAUCAGUGAGAUACCACUCUUGUAAUGUUAGAUUUCUAACUUUGAAUCAUUAUCUGGUCAAAGAACAGUUUCAGGCGGGCAGUUUGACUGGGGCGGUCGCCUCCUAAAUGGUAACGGAGGCGUACAAAGGUUUCCUCUGAACGGGUAGAAAUCGUAUCUAGAGUGUAAAGGCAUAAGGAAGCUUGACUGUGAGACCUACAAGUCGAGCAGGGACGAAAGUCGGUCUUAGUGAUCUGACGGUACUGAGUGGAAAGGCCGUCACUCAACGGAUAAAAGUUACUCUAAGGAUAACAGGCUGAUCUCCCCCAAGAGUUCACAUCGACGGGGAGGUUUGGCACCUCGAUGUCGGCUCAUCGCAUCCUGGGGCGGUAGUACGUCCCAAGGGUUGGGCUGUUCGCCCAUGAAAGCGGUACGCGAGCUGGGUUCAGAACGUCGUGAGACAGUUCGGUCCAUAUCCGGUGUAGGCGUUAGAAUAUUGAGAGGAGCCUUCUUUAGUACGAGAGGACCGAGAAGGACAUACCUCUGGUGUACCAGUUAUCGUGCCAACGGUAAACGCUGGGUAGCUAUGUAUGGAGUGGAUAACCGCUGAAAGCAUCUAAGUGGGAAGCCCACCUCAAGAUAAG
rnacentral:rRNA from 1 species